rnacentral:rRNA from 1 species
GACCUCGGAUCAGGUAGGGAUACCCGCUGAACUUAAGCAUAUCAAUAAGCGGAGGAAAAGAAACCAACAGGGAUUGCCUCAGUAACGGCGAGUGAGGCGGCAACAGCUCAAAUUUGAAAUCUGGCCCUUGGGUCCGAGUUGUAAUUUGCAGAGGAUGUUUCGGGCGUGGUCCGGUCUAAGUUCCUUGGAAUAGGACGUCAUAGAGGGUGAGAAUCCCGUAUGCGACUGGGUGCCUAAGCUCAUGUGAAACUCCUUCGACGAGUCGAGUUGUUUGGGAAUGCAGCUCUAAAUGGGUGGUAAAUUUCAUCUAAAGCUAAAUAUUGGCCAGAGACCGACAGCGCACAAGUAGAGUGAUCGAAAGAUGAAAAGCACUUUGGAAAGAGAGUUAAAUAGCACGUGAAAUUGUUGAAAGGGAAGCGCUUGCAAUCAG